rnacentral:rRNA from 1 species
GACGAACCGUGCGAACGUUGUUCGGAAUCACUGGGCUUAAAGGGCGCGUAGGCGGGCUGCCAAGUCCGGGGUGAAAUCCUCCCGCUUAACGGGAGAACGGCCCCGGAUACUGGCGAUCUCGAGGCGGGUAGGGGCGUGCGGAACUAUGGGUGGAGCGGUGAAAUGCGUUGAUAUCCAUAGGAACUCCGGUGGCGAAGGCGGCACGCUGGACCCGAUCUGACGCUGAGGCGCGAAAGCCAGGGGAGCGAACGGG